rnacentral:lncRNA from 1 species
ACCCUUGUGUGUUGUCGAGUGGAAGUAGAAUAGAAGGUACUCUGCACAGAAUGCUGAGGCUGCAAUCAAACAAAGAGCACCUUCUGGCAAUGGAAGAAAUCUGUCAAGAAAAAGUCACAAGGAAAGAUGAUUAAAAAGGUAUAAAAUAAGAUACUUGAAAGGAAAUUGGUAACUGUUUCAAUUUAGGUUGCAUGUCUAGUAAAUUACAGAUCAUGAUAUAAAACUAUAAUCAAUGACAGAUUGAAUAAAUGAUAGGAAAAUAAGAAUAUGCAGCUAAAGAUAGAGUUCUAUGAAUGAAUCGUUAUGAUUGGGAAAAGAAAAGAUCUUUGGCAGUUGAACUAAUUGAAAACCUCCUGAGAAAAAGCUUUACUUCUUGUUCACCUGAUUCCUCGAGGUAAUUAGAUUGGUUGUUAGUUUCUUUACAUCUUAUCUAAAUGUUCCUUAGCCAAAUUAGACAAAGUAGGUUAAAAUCAACUUUUGUUAUAGUCCCUACAUGACAAACUUUACACUCUGGUUUUUAUAAAACAAACAUUAUGAAAUUAUUCUUGUUAUUUGCUGAUUUUUAGAAAUUUGUUCAGGUUUAAAACCAGAAUGUAGAAGUAUCUUAUGUAAGAUUAAACUGAAGAAUAAUGUGAAAUGUAGAGACCAAAUAUUUAAUUUCACUAAAAAUAAAUUAAGGUGAACGGCAUAACCAUUUGUCCCCCUUCACAGCACAAUUAUUUUGAAUUUUCAUUUCAUAUCCUCACGCUUCCAACAGAUUAUGACUCAGAGAAAACCAAACCAAACGCAACUAAUGCUGUCUAUGAUUGCAAUGUGGCACAAGGAGCAAAGAAUGCAUUAUGUACACAUGUACACAAAAAGUACCAAAUGAAAUAUGACUAUGCAGCUUAAGGACUAAUAUAUCUUGUAGGAAACUUGGUUAAUUCUUGAAAAUGCCAAUUAAAAACAAAGGGAAACUUUAGAAGUAGAAAGUGAAUCAUGGGAAAGCAUAUAUGGCGUGGAGCUAUCCAUCUCACUAAUUAUCUUAACUCUUUGAAUCAGUACCCCACUUGUCAUCAUACAGCAGUAGCACUCAAAACCUACUUUCACUUAAAAAGCAGGUUAGCAGAACGUGAUUUCAAGAUCUUUAGUUUAAUUUCAAGAACCAGACACAAUGAAUGAAAAGCAAAUUUUCAACUGUUGGAAAAAAAACUGGUAGAACCGAGCAUUAUACCCUUUUAGACAUUAGACAAAUGUUAAAUCAAGAUUUGGAUUGUCUAAACCAUGAGUAAUCAAGAUUUGGAUUGUCUAAACUAUGAGUAAUCAAGAUUUGGACUGAGAAAACUGAGUAAAACAGUAUUAGUUCUUCAAGAAAAAGAAAAUUCAAAUUAUAAUGCAAAAAUUAUCCUAUUGGAGAGAGAGGGAGAGAGGAACUAACCUGGUCUCUUGGGAAAGCAAGGCAACGACACCGAAGAUGAAAAACAUGAGAAGCAUUCCUGAGUGCUCAAAGUCAUUCAUAUGAGAAGGAUUAAGGACUCCAUUAACAAAAAACUUGAGGUGAGUUGAAUACAAGAGCUCGAUGCACAUGUCAAUGAAAGCACCGAUUGUAAUAACAUACAGCUCCAGGUGCUUGAGCCUUCCAUCAAACCCUGGCACGGGAUUCCAAACCCUCACCUCAAAUUUCUUAGGAUUACGAACAUAUCUCACCACAGAGCCCCAUAUGUGCCACAACCCAAUUACAAGAAACAGUGUCCCCGGCAAAGCAUGACCCUUGAAAGAUCCCAUGCCGCUGUUCAAAUUUUACCUCUCCAAAAUACAAUCUCCUCAGUACUUAAGCAACUUGGCCUUCAAUGAUCCCUUAGCUGGACCAAAUUAGAUAGAUGAUCACCGAAGAAUUCCCCCUUUAUGAGCUAACCAAUUAUUCCUGUUAACAAUAAUGGCACCAUCAGUUUUCAAACAAUAAAUAGCAGCCUUUUUGGACAGAAUCUUCUUAAAUUAUAUAUAUAUACUUUUCAGUUUCCUUGUCUGCUAUAUCUGAUGUGCUUCAAAAUUUAAAUUGUUUAUUAUUUUUACUGCAAUUUAGUUUAAAAGCUUUUCUUUUACAACAGGAUCCAGCAAGGCCACCUUCUACCAAUAAUCAAAGAUGGAUCCUACCCGGCCCUUGAAUUUACAAGAGAAACUAGCAAAGCCAAGAGUUGUUGACUAUGCAAUUCUAGUGCAGUUCUUGUUCAGU